GAUGAACGCUGGCGGCGCGCCUAACACAUGCAAGUCGAACGGCACCCCUCCUCGGAGGGAAGCGAGUGGCGAACGGCUGAGUAACACGUGGAGAACCUGCCCCCUCCCCCGGGAUAGCCGCCCGAAAGGACGGGUAAUACCGGAUACCCCGGGGUGCCGCAUGGCACCCCGGCUAAAGCCCCGACGGGAGGGGAUGGCUCCGCGGCCCAUCAGGUAGACGGCGGGGUGACGGCCCACCGUGCCGACAACGGGUAGCCGGGUUGAGAGACCGACCGGCCAGAUUGGGACUGAGACACGGCCCAGACUCCUACGGGAGGCAGCAGUGGGGAAUCUUGCGCAAUGGGGGGAACCCGGACGCAGCGACGCCGCGUGCGGGACGGAGGCCUUCGGGUCGUAAACCGCUUUCAGCAGGGAAGAGUCAAGACUGUACCUGCAGAAGAAGCCCCGGCUAACUACGUG
rnacentral:rRNA from 1 species